UCUUAUGUACAUGCCUACAACGUUAAUGCACUAGAUCCCAUAAAAAAUACAUAGUUAAGCACGCUUGGUCUAGAGUAGUACUAGGAUGGGUGACCUCCUGGGAAGUCCUAGUGUUUUACAUGCC
rfam:Picea glauca, whole genome shotgun sequence.